UCGGGGUGCAGUAAGUGGAGCCCACCUUCCGCUGCUUCCUCAGACACGUUCUGGAGGAAAGCAGAGACGCAUCGUGUCUUCCUUACUCCGCUCUUCACCUGCUUUUACAGACUCAGACACGUUCUGGAGGAAAGCAGAGACGCAUCGUGUCUUCCUUACUCCGCUCUUCACCUGCUUUUACAGGUCGGUAAAUGGUGCUCGCACCGAAAACUUUGUUUAUUGUUACCAUGGUUACCCACGUUAACGCGAAUUAGAGAGUUAAGGCGGUCCGCCCGAGUUAUUUAUAUGUAAACACGGGAGAAACCAGAGGAGUGUCCCGUGCGGCCGCAUCGCGAGCCGCUCGUUAAGUAGAGCGCUCGUGAAGCAGAGUCAGUACGCUCCUAUGCUCUGUGCAAAUGUGUUGUAAUGUUCUGAUCAAACCAGUUCUGUGAGAUGUGAAUGUUAAUAGUUAUGUUAAAGUGACUGAGUAGAUUAGCUAGUGUAACACAAGCACUCUGAGCAACUCUCUGUAGCUAACAGAGGCAUUCACAGUUAAUUAAAUAAGCUGGGUUUCAUGAUACACUAAAUAGUGAUUUUGCCAGUAAAUUACUGAAGGAAACAAAUGUGAUGUAUUUACUGAUGCUGUUAUUGAAUAUAACUGUUUAGCCAGUAAGACACUGUAGAAGACAAUGUGAUGUGUUUAUUGAUAUGGUAAAGGAAUGUAACUGUUAUGGAAAGAAGUGUGAAUUUGAGAAACUGAACCAGUUAACGAGAGCAUAUUUCACUGAGGUUGUGAAAUAAGUAAAUGUAAUUGAUGUGAAUGAGGAACCAGCUGAUUAGUAUAUUGAAAGCUCAUGUUUAAUGUUAUAUAGCAUUUAU